rnacentral:rRNA from 1 species
CAGUCGCCACGGUAAUACGGAAGGUCCAGGCGUUAUCCGGAUUUAUUGGGUUUAAAGGGAGUGUAGGCGGUCUGUUAAGCGUGUUGUGAAAUUUAGGUGCUCAACAUUUAACUUGCAGCGCGAACUGGCGGACUUGAGUGCACGCAACGUAUGCGGAAUUCAUGGUGUAGCGGUGAAAUGCUUAGAUAUCAUGACGAACUCCGAUUGCGAAGGCAGCGUACGGGAGUGUUACUGACGCUUAAGCUCGAAGGUGCGGGUAUCGAACAGGAUUAGAUACCCCCGUAGUCCCUGUCUCUUAUAC